rnacentral:rRNA from 1 species
GUAGUCUCGCACAGAUGCAUAUCAAUAAGCGGAGGAAAAGAAACUAACAAGGAUUCCCUUAGUAACGGCGAGUGAAGCGGGAAGAGCUCAAAUUUGAAAUCUUCAAGGUUUUACCUUGACGAAUUGUAGUUUAAAGAAGUGUUUUCUGUUGAAGUUUUGGUAAAAGUUCUUUGGAAUAGGACAUCAUAGAGGGUGAGAAUCCCGUACUUUGACCAUUAUUUUCAGCUGUGUGAUACACUUUCAAAGAGUCGGAUUGUUUGGGAAUGCAGUCCAAAAUGGGUGGUAAAUUUCAUCUAAAGCUAAAUAUUGGCGAGAGACCGAUAGCGAACAAGUACCGUGAGGGAAAGACUGAAAAGAACUUUGAAAAGAGAGUUAAACAGUACGUGAAAUUGUCAAAAGGGAAGCGUUUGACACCAGUGUUGUUUUCUCGAAAAUCAAUUAAAAAGAGUUAGAUUUUGUUGUGUAUUGACCUUAACAGCUUGCAUUUCAAUUUUCUUGCUUUUUUUAAUGCACUUUUCGUUUAACAAGUCAACAUCAGUUUCUUUUGUUGUAAAAAGGUCAUUGGAAGGUGGCUUUCUUUUCGGAGAAAGUGUUUAUAGCCUUUGACUCCUGCAAUCGGAGAGACUGAGGUCUGCAGCGUAGAUCCUUCGGGGUUAGAUACAUUUGUGCUAAGUUAUAGCUUUUUAUAGACAACUUGUUGACUAUGAUUAGUCUUGUAGCUUACUCGCUUAUGCUAUUUUACCUACGCUUAGGAUGUUGAGCGCAUGUCUCUCUCU